AUCCUACCUGGGGAGAUUUGAUUCAUUCCGAAUUCUUUAAUUCGGAAUGUUCGGAAUGAAAGGGUUCGCUUUGACCGUUAA
rnacentral:tRNA from 1 species